GAAACACGUCAUCUGACUUGCACGCCAAUUCUGAGGUCGAUUUCUCUUCUAGAAAAUUCUGUAAAAAUAUGGGAAACAUAACGUUAUCUCUUAUCUUUUCAGGCAUAUAUCGCACACUACUAGGAAAAAUCGGGAAAGCCUUCAAUUCGUCAUUUUUCCACAGCUGCGCAGUUCUGACCAGAAAACAACUUCUGUGGUAUUAACUUUGAAAACCGGAACAUUUGGCUUUAGGGAAAGUUAUGAAAUUUAGAUACAAUGAUCAUUAGCCUCUUAGCUUCCUUCUCCAAUUGGCGUUGUAUCAAAACUUUUCCAGAAAGUCCACGUAUUAGCACAAACGUCCUACUUGCGCAGAUUGGCUGAAACUUGCCAUUUUUUGCUUGGAAUUUGCUUCCUUCUUUUGGUUGGAAUGUACUUCCUUCUUUUGAUUUUCCUUUUUCUAUUUGGUAUGUAUUC
rnacentral:lncRNA from 1 species